UGUAGUAUGGAAUGUAAUGGUAUAGUGGAAUGCAAUGAUACAGUUUGAGGUAAGUUACAAACAGAUAACAGCACAGAAUGCACUGGAGGAUUAGAACCCGAACCCGGUUGUAAUAAUAAUAGAAAGAUAAAGACACUGGAAACAUAUAUAUGAGUACAGGUUCACUGUGAUUCGCAGAGGGUAAUGCCCAGGUAAUUGGCUUGCGGCACCAUGCACUUGAUACAUCUUCAUUCCUCU
rnacentral:lncRNA from 1 species